CUGGCCAUUGUGCUGUUUUUAUUAAUUAAAUUGAUUAAGUAGAUUUGUAUCGUUGUAUUGGUACGCUGUUGAUAUGAUUUAAAUAAAUAAAGUCUGCAAAUUGUGUUAUAAUAUAUUGCAUACACAGCUUUCCUAUAUUCUGCAUUGAUUUUUGUUAUUAUUUAUAGUUAAUUUGCUGUGUUUGUUUGUUCUUGCACUGGCGCGUGAUUUUUCCUAUCGAAUCGAGGCUUUGUGCAGUUUUGUUUUCAGGUUAUAGUGGUGGUUUUUAUCCUCGUACCAGUAACGGAGGAUAGUAGGGGACACAUUUCGUUUAAACAAUUAGAGGAGCCGGUGAGAGGGGUGUUUCAGUAUGCAUGUGAUGGCUUGCUGCGUUCGUCGACAGAUGCCCGUAAAACUGCAUAGAAAUCCACUAGAGAGAGAAUAGAAACAUACUAGAGAUACACAACUUUAAAUUCUAAAAACUUUUUUAUUUAGAUGUUGCGGUAGUGCUUAUUUAAAAGAAGAACGCAUUAAUGUAGAAUAAUGCGUUCUUGUUUUAAAUAAGUACAUUAGAGAAUGACAAAAUAGGACAAGCGUUUUUGUUUUUAUUACGCUUUUUUCGAAUGAACUCGAUUUUGUACAAAAGCUUCUCUAGAUUUGUAAAUACUUUCUUUAAAUUAAUUUUUCAAGGAUGUAUGCUAAAUAAAAAUCCAAUUUAUAGGGUGCCGUAGUCAAGUAGUAAAACCCAUAGAAUUUCGUCCAGACCGUACUUCACAGCUUAUUUUUUUUAAGCUGAAUGCACACGCGGCUUCAAUUAAAAUUGUAAACAUAGCGUUUAGUCUCAGAACUGACACUUAAAAUUAAUUUAAAAAAAAAUAGAGGAUGCUACUCAAGGAAACGAUGACAAAAUUCGAGAGUGCUUAAGCAUUUUAGGUAUCGCGUUAGAUAUGUACAUAAUAUAUCAUACAAAUGUGAAUUUUCUAUUAUAUCAAUGUAUGUUUUAUUUUUAUUGCUUAGAUUGGUGGACGAGCUCACAGCCCACCUGGUGCUAAGUGGUUACUGGAGCCCAUAGACAUCUACAACGUAAAUGCGCCACUCACCUUGAGAUAUAAGUUCUAUAGUCUCAGUAUAGUUACAACGGCCGCCCCGCCUUUCAAACCGGAACGCAUUACUGCUUCACGACAGAAAUAGGCAGGGUGGUGGCACCUGCCCGUGCGGACUCACAAGAGGUCCUACCACCAGUAAUUACGAAAAUUAUAAUUUUGCGAGUUUGAUUUUUAUUACACAAUGUUAUUCUUUCACCGUAGAAGUCAAUCGUGAACAUUUGAUAAGUACAUAUAUCAUUAGAAAAAUUGGUAACCAAUUACCUGCGUGAUUCGAACACUGUUGCAUCGCUAGAUACGAUUUCACCGGUUGUCUUAUCUUUUAGCCUACGACGAUUUCAAAGGUUUUACAAAAGUAAAAAAAAAAUAUUAUAUGGAUGGUUCUCAAUUACAUAUUUAAUAAUAUCAACAGUUUUUUUAGAAAUAUCCUUCUAAAACGUGUACCCUCGGCAUAAAACUUUAAAACAUACGACUCGCGGUGGUCAAAUACAGAAAACAAAUCUCGAACUUUAAAUAAAUUCAAAGGAAAUUUGCUUAUCCAAAAGAUGUGGUUCGAGAGAAGGGCUAGUUAGGGUUGCAUGCGGUUCGUGCUGACUACGGAACCCUUUGCUGAGCGUUGUUCGACACGCAAUUGCUCGAUUUUUUGUUGAUAAUGGAACUAUAAAUCUUAGACCGUAAAAUAAAUAAUAAACUGGUGAUAUAUAAUAUUUAGAUUAACAGUAUUAAGAACAAAAAAUAUUAUUGAGCAUAUUAUUGAAGAUGCUAUAUAUAAUAAGGACUUAGUACUUCAAAUGUACAAUUAUCAAGAACUAAAUACUCGUAGUAUCAAAGUGAUAUUUACAAUAUUUUGUUCUAUGGUUGAGACAGCCUAAUGAAUCCCAGAGUUUCCAGGAUUAGCAUUUGAUAUGUUUGUUUAUGUUUAUAAAAUCAAAGUAUGCAAUACAUGUUUAUUGUAUUACGUUUGCAAACAAUAUAUUACAUAAUAUAUUUCAAAUAAGUUUUUAUAUCUAUUUAAAUGAAAGCAAUGAGCAUUUGAUAAUUUUAUCGAACGAUUAAGGAACAAUCGUUUUCAAUACAACCUAUUCGAGCGGUUGCAGUAAAACUUUUAAUUGAUCAAGUACUGGUAUUUGAAUUACCUAGUUUGGCUAUCAAUACGUUUGUUUAAAUUUUAUAUUGAUGUUGUUAUGUACGUUUUGUUUUGGUAAUUAAUAUAUCAUAAAAAUUUG